CCUACGGGAGGCAGCAGUGAGGAAUAUUGGUCAAUGGACGAGAGUCUGAACCAGCCAAGUAGCGUGAAGGAUGACUGCCCUAUGGGUUGUAAACUUCUUUUAUAUGGGAAUAAAAUGUUCCACGUGUGGGAUUUUGUAUGUACCAUAUGAAUAAGGAUCGGCUAACUCCGUGCCAGCAGCCGCGGGAAUACGGAGGAUCCGAGCGUUAUCCGGAUUUAUUGGGUUUAAAGGGAGCGUAGGGGGGUUGUUAAGUCAGUUGUGAAAGUUUGCGGCUCAACCGUAAAAGUGCAGUUGAAACUGGCAGUCUUGAGUACAGUAGAGGUGGGCGGAAUUCGAGGUGUAGCGGUGAAAUGCUUAGAGAUCACGCAGAACCCCGGUGGCGAAGGCAGCGUGCCGUGC
rnacentral:rRNA from 1 species